UUCCUGAUGUUUAGUCCAAAUCUCCUUUCUUGUAACUCGAAUGCUUUGGUGCUGGUCCUACCCCCUGGAGCAAGAGAAAGCAAACUUGCUCCAUCUUCCAUGGGAUAGCCCUUUAGAUAUUUGAAGAGUGCUAACACAUCUCCUCUCAGUCUCCUCUUCUCCAGGCGAAACAUCCCCAAAUCCCUCA